rnacentral:lncRNA from 1 species
AGUAUCUGAAUUUGGGGAGAACAUAAGUCCAUGACACAUGUGUACAAAACUUUCAUUGUGAUAUUAGUGUCAUAAUAAUAAUAUAUAACAACAUACAACAGAGCAACCAACAAGCUUAACACCUGAGAAAAGAUAGGUGCCUCCCAGAAGUAACAAACAUGAGUACUUGAUUACCUAGGGCACACAUAGCACAGACCAAGAUAUAAUCGCCUUGAAAGUGGAUGAAAAGAAUGCAGCUGAAACAUUUAUCAAAUUAUUGGAGGCCAAAUGUGAACACUAGUGAAGAUCAACUGUGGUUGGAGAAAUGAAGAACAGCAAAACUCUAACCCCGGGACAAGUACAAGAUUACUGAGAAAGCUUCACCCCACAAACUCAGGGGCACUAAGACUGAGGCUGAGCCGUAACGACAGAAUUUUCCCACUGUUAAAGCAAAUAAAUAUGGCCUGAGAAGGAUUUCUAUAUUUGAGUCCUUGUGGACUAACUGCAACCUAGCUUAACAGAGUAAGACCAUUUAAAGGGACCAAAAAUGGAUGAACAUACUUGGCACUAUGAACUAAAAGAUCUUUGGCUAAAGAAGAGAUGAAGACUCAUUCAACUCCUACAAGUGAAUUAAGGAGCUCUGAGAAGGCAAAGCCAGCCCAGGAGGGUGGACACACUAAGAACAAUGUGCCUUGUCCUGAUACACAGUUGUGGUAUAGGUAACAAAAUCUGAGUAUCCAACCUAAGAUGUUACCCCUCACCUCACCAGAAUACCUCCAAUCCCUUCCCUGGAAACACAGAAUAAAUUCCUAUAGAAAGUUA